rnacentral:rRNA from 1 species
AUUGAACGCUGGCGGCAUGCCUUACACAUGCGAGUCGAACGGCAGCACGGGUGCUUGCCCCUGGUGGCGAGUGGCGCACGGGUGAGUAAUACAUCGGGACAUGUCCUGUAGUGGGGGAUAGCCCGGCGAAAGCCGGAUUAAUACCGCCUACGAUCAACGGAUGAAAGCGGGGGACCUUCGGGCAUCGCGCUAUAGGGUCGGCCGACGGCUGAUUAGCUAGGUGUUGGGGUAAAGGCAUACCAAGGCAACGAGGAGUAGCUGGUCUGAGAGGAAGACCGGCCCCACUGGAACUGAGACACGGGCCAGACUCCGACGGGAGGCAGCAGUAGGGAAUCUUCCGCAAUGGGCGAAAGCCUGACGGAGCAUCGCCGCGUGAGUGAUGAAGGUCUUCGGAUACUAAAACUCUGUUAUUAGGGAAGAACAUAUGUGUAAGUAACUGUGCACAUCUUGACGGUACCUAAUCAGAAAGCCACGGCUAACUCCGUG